GAUGAAGAACGCAGCGAAAUGCGAUAAGUAAUGUGAAUUGCAGAAUUCAGUGAAUCAUCGAAUCUUUGAACGCACAUUGCGCCCGCUAGUAUUCUGGCGGGCAUGCCUGUCCGAGCGUCAUUUCAACCCUCAAGCCCCCGGGCUUGGUGUUGGGGAUCGGCGAGCCUCCGCGCCCGCCGUCCCCUAAAUCUAGUGGCGGUCUCGCUGUAGCUUCCUCUGCGUAGUAGCACACCUCGCACUGGGAAACAGCGCGGCCACGCCGUUAAACCCCCAACUUCUGAACGUUUGACCUCGGAUCAGGUAGGACUACCCGCUGAACUUAAGCAUAUCAAUAAGCGGAGUA
rnacentral:misc_RNA from 1 species